UGAUGAUUGAUCAGGUGUAGAUCACACGCCCAGCCCUGGAGCAGAGCAGACGUAUGCCUGGAGCCACUGCAACCAUCUCGUGAUCAUAAGGAAACAAGCACAAGGAUAAAAAGUCAACUCGAUGGCGACGCAGAAGCCUAGCUUUUUGUGGACACCUUUGAGUCAGUGAAAAAAAAAGGAACUCAUCUCCUUCCAGACUUUCUGACUGUCACCAAGGCCACCGUAACCACUGAAGUUUUUGCCCAUCAAUAAAGUGGAUUCUAUCACAGUAUCACUCAGCCUUAUUAUUUACUUCCAUACUGUUCAACUAAUCUCUUGAGAGGAGUUCUUUGGUGUCUAACUUAGCCAAGUUGGCAGGCCGUCAAGAGCCUUCUCUUGAGAAAAGCUUGUUUGGCUCGCCUUGAAGUUUGCUUGUCCAUCCACCUUCCGUGGCCUUGGAUGCUUGGCUGCUUCUCCUUCUACCAUGGGGGCCUGCUGACAAAUGCAAUGUCUCCGGAGGGAUUGGUGCCUGCCUCUUUCAACACCUCGCAGUUGGUGAACAUCCCCCAUUGUUCACAAAGCUCCUCAGGCUCCCGUAGUUCAUCUCCAAGUUCAAGUCCCCAGUGAGGACUUUCUGUAGCCAUGGGAUUUCAACAUAACAGUUGUUACAACGGACACUGCCACCACCCUCCUCAGGGACAUCCACAACAGAAAGAAGCUGAUCCAGACCAGACCCCAGAAUUUCUUGUUUUCUGAACCGAGUCAGCCUGGUGAGACACACUUUCACUCUUUCUCCUCAAAAGCAGAGACAUU